GCUCUUUCUUCCCCGCUGCGGACCCCCCGCGGGCGGCGGGGAGCGGGCGGGGAGCUCGCCAUGCCCGGCCCGGCCCGACCCGGUGCGGUCCGGUCCGGGGGGGGGGCGGCGGGGAAGCGGAGCCGGCUCCGUGCCCGCACCCUCGGGGCGCUGGGUCCGGCCCCCGGCGGGCCGGGCUCAGCCGAAAUCCCUCGCUCGUGGCACGGCCCGGGAGGAACGGGCUGGGGGAGCCGCGGGCUGGACCCCUCCGAGGUGGUACCCCGAGGUGCCUGGAAGGGGGUGCUUGUGCCCCAUCGAGGGGCCGAGCACAUGGCAUCGCCCCCGGGCUGCUGCUGCUGUGCCACCGCGCUGCCCCGCACCGCCCGCGGGCUGCCCUGACCCCACGGAGGCUUCGGAGGGGAGAGAGGAGGCUGCUGAGAAAGGCACUGCUGCAAGGAGCCGCCGGGAGCUCCAGGCUGAAGAGACCUGCCUCCCCUGGGAGACCUCUGCUAAAGGUGAAGACCUCCAAGCAGACCAGGCAGAUUUAGCAGGAGCUCAGGAAUUUUACAUCAAGAGCCAGCAGCUCAUGGGAAGGAGGCAGGAGGCUGGGCCUGUGCAGGAGCGAUCUGUGAGGGCCUGGGGAGCUGCUGGGCCAUCAGGGGACGUGCAGCUGAAACUUAUUUAA
rnacentral:lncRNA from 1 species